AGAGUUUGAUCCUGGCUCAGAAUGAACGCUGGCGGCAGGCCUAAAACAUGCAAGUCGAACGCUGUAGCAAUACAGAGUGGCGCACGGGUGAGUAACAUGUGGGAAUAUGCCUUUUGGUACGGAACAACGUUUGGAAACGAACGCUAAUACCGUAUGGUCCCUACGGGGUAAAGAUUUAUCGCCAAAAGAUUAGCCCGCACUAGAUUAGCUAGUUGGUGAGGUAAGAGCUCACCAAGGCGACGAUCUAUAGCUGGUCUGAGAGGACGAUCAGCCACACUGGGACUGAGACACGGCCCAGACUCCUACGGGAGGCAGCAGUUAGGAAUAUUGGACAAUGGGCGCAAGCCUGAUCCAGCCAUGCCGCGUGAGUGAUGAAGGCCUUCGGGUUGUAAAACUCUUUAGCCGAUGAAUAUAAUGACUGUAGUCGGAAAAUAAGCCCCGGCUAACUUCGUGCCAGCAGCCGCGGUAAUACGAAGGGGGCGAGCGUUAUUCGGAAUCACUGGGCGUAAAGCGUGCGUAGGCUGCUUAGAAAGUUGGAAGUGAAAGCCCAGGGCUCAACCCUGGAAUUGCUUUCAAAACUACUAGGCUAGGAUUUGGGAGAGGAUAGCGGAAUUGUCAGUGUAGCAGUGAAAUGCGUAGAUAUUGACAGGAACACCAGUGGCGCAAGCGGCUAUCUGGACCAACAUCGACGCUGAGGCACGAAAGCGUGGGGAUCAAACAGGAUUAGAUACCCUGGUAGUCCACGCCGUAAACGAUGUGUGCUUGUCGCUGGGGGGUUCACCCUUCGGUGACGCAGCUAACGCGUUAAGCACACCGCCUGGGAAGUACGGCCGCAAGGUUAAAACUCAAAGGAAUUGACGGGGACCCGCACAAGCGGUGGAGCAUGUGGUUUAAUUCGAUGCAACGCGAAGAACCUUACCUGGUCUUGACAUGUCUGGAAUCCCGAAGAGAUUUGGGAGUGCCGCAAGGAACCAGAACACAGGUGCUGCAUGGCUGUCGUCAGCUCGUGUCGUGAGAUGUUGGGUUAAGUCCCGCAACGAGCGCAACCCUUGUCCUUAGUUGCCAUCAUUAAGUUGGGAACUCUAAGGAGACCGCCGGUGACAAACCGGAGGAAGGUGGGGAUGACGUCAAGUCAUCAUGGCCUUUAUGACCAGGGCUACACACGUGCUACAAUGGCAGGUACAGAGGGAAGCCAACCCGCGAGGGGGAGCUAAUCCCAGAAAGCCUGUCUUAGUCCGGAUUGGAGUCUGCAACUCGACUCCAUGAAGUUGGAAUCGCUAGUAAUCGCAGAUCAGCAUUGCUGCGGUGAAUACGUUCCCGGGUCUUGUACACACCGCCCGUCACACCAUGGGAGUUGAUUGCACCAGAAGCAGGUAGCCUGACCGCAAGGAGGGCGCUUACCACGGUGUGGUUAAUGACUGGGGUGAAGUCGUAACAAGGUA
rnacentral:rRNA from 1 species